rnacentral:rRNA from 1 species
AAAAUACGGGAGGCAGCAGUGAGGAAUAUUGGUCAAUGGGCGAGAGCCUGAACCAGCCAAGUAGCGUGCGGGAUGAAGGCCCUUGUGGUCGUAAACCGCUUUUAUCAGUGAAUAAAGUGCACCACGUGUGGUGUCAUUGCAGGUAGCUGAAGAAAAAGGACCGGCUAAUUCCGUGCCAGCAGCCGCGGUAAUUUUU